UUGACCUGAGAUCGGGUGGGAAUACCCGCUGAACUU
rnacentral:rRNA from 1 species